GGCACCGUAACUUCGGGAGAAGGUGCGCCGGCUAGGGUGAAGGAUUUACUCCGUAAGCUCUGGCUGGUCGAAGAUACCAGGCCGCUGCGACUGUUUAUUAAAAACACAGCACUCUGCAAACACGAAAGUGGACGUAUAGGGUGUGACGCCUGCCCGGUGCCGGAAGGUUAAUUGAUGGGGUUAGCGCAAGCGAAGCUCUUGAUCGAAGCCCCGGUAAACGGCGGCCGUAACUAUAACGGUCCUAAGGUAGCGAAAUUCCUUGUCGGGUAAGUUCCGACCUGCACGAAUGGCGUAACGAUGGCGGCGCUGUCUCCACCCGAGACUCAGUGAAAUUGAAAUCGCUGUGAAGAUGCAGUGUAUCCGCGGCUAGACGGAAAGACCCCGUGAACCUUUACUGUAGCUUUGCACUGGACUUUGAGCCUGCUUGUGUAGGAUAGGUGGGAGGCUUUGAAGCGUGGACGCCAGUUCGCGUGGAGCCAUCCUUGAAAUACCACCCUGGCAUGCUUGAGGUUCUAACUCUGGUCCGUAAUCCGGAUCGAGGACAGUGUAUGGUGGGCAGUUUGACUGGGGCGGUCUCCUCCUAAAGAGUAACGGAGGAGUACGAAGGUGCGCUCAGACCGGUCGGAAAUCGGUCGUAGAGUAUAAAGGCAAAAGCGCGCUUGACUGCGAGACAGACACGUCGAGCAGGUACGAAAGUAGGUCUUAGUGAUCCGGUGGUUCUGUAUGGAAGGGCCAUCGCUCAACGGAUAAAAGGUACUCCGGGGAUAACAGGCUGAUACCGCCCAAGAGUUCAUAUCGACGGCGGUGUUUGGCACCUCGAUGUCGGCUCAUCACAUCCUGGGGCUGAAGCCGGUCCCAAGGGUAUGGCUGUUCGCCAUUUAAAGUGGUACGCGAGCUGGGUUUAGAACGUCGUGAGACAGUUCGGUCCCUAUCUGCCGUGGACGUUUGAGAUUUGAGAGGGGCUGCUCCUAGUACGAGAGGACCGGAGUGGACGAACCUCUGGUGUUCCGGUUGUCACGCCAGUGGCAUUGCCGGGUAGCUAUGUUCGGAAAAGAUAACCGCUGAAAGCAUCUAAGCGGGAAACUUGCCUCAAGAUGAGAUCUCACUGGGAACUUGAUUCCCCUGAAGGGCCGUCGAAGACUACGACGUUGAUAGGCUGGGUGUGUAAGCGUUGUGAGGCGUUGAGCUAACCAGUACUAAUUGCCCGUGAGGCUUGACCAUAUAACACCCAAACA
rnacentral:rRNA from 1 species